GUUAAUAUAGUUUAAAAAAAACUCUGAUCUUGUAAAUCAAAAAUAAAUAUUUUUAUUAACU
rnacentral:tRNA from 1 species